AGAACGAACGCUGGCGGCAUGCCUAACACAUGCAAGUCGAACGCUCACCGGGCUUCGGUUCGGUGGGAGUGGCGCACGGGUGAGUAGCGCGUGGGAACCUGCCCUGUUGUGGGGGAUAACCGAGGGAAACUUCGGCUAAUACCGCAUGCGCCCGGGGAAACCCGGGGAAAGAUUUAUCGCAGCAGGAGGGGCCCGCGUCGGAUUAGGUAGUUGGUAGGGUAACGGCCUACCAAGCCUUUGAUCCGUAGCUGGUCUGAGAGGAUGAUCAGCCACACUGGGACUGAGACACGGCCCAGACUCCUACGGGAGGCAGCAGUGGGGAAUAUUGGACAAUGGGCGCAAGCCUGAUCCAGCAAUGCCGCGUGAGUGAUGAAGGCCUUAGGGUUGUAAAGCUCUUUCGCCCGCGACGAUGAUGACGGUAGCGGGAGAAGAAGCCCGGCUAACUUCGCGCCAGCAGCCGC
rnacentral:rRNA from 1 species